rnacentral:lncRNA from 1 species
AAUCCACCAUUAGCAUGUUUGGGAUCCACUACUGGAUGGUUAACAGCAGCUUUUGUAACUGUACGCCGACCAUAUCGAAUUAUGCUCUGCUAAAAAUGAACUCUUUGCAGACCAACCCUCUCGGCUGUCAGUGUUUUCCGUUUUCCUAUUUUAACGUUUGUGUAUAGUGGCAGGCGACAGAUGGUGUAGAUCAGAUCGAUUUGAUUGCAUUAGAUGAUUUUUUCCCUUCCCCACUCCUUUCUGGAAGCUCGCAUCAGCUGAAGGCUAUCGCCUGGGACUCCUCGGAAGCAUGAGCAAGCCGCCACCACGCGAAGGCACUGGGGCACAGCCAGCGCGAGGCGCCGAGGUCCCUUCCCAAGGCUUGUUAACACUGUAACCCGGCACUCGGAGAGAAGAAGCAGCUCACACUGCCCAGAGCCUACCUCACUGCACAUCAGAUGACUCCCUGGCUUCUACACACAGUUGGAGUUCCGCUUGAAACCUGGAUUUAGAGGGGUUCUCUGGCCGCCAUGGCACUCAAUCAUACCACCUAGAGUGGACUGGCCGAGACCAGACUGGGUACCAAGCAGAGAAGUGCAGAGGAAAGCACUGGGAGAGCACCAGAAUUGGAAAUAGAGCGGCCAUUUGGAUUUGGGCAGGAAGCAGCCGAGCACAGCUUUGGAUCCUUCUUUAGGGAAAUCGAGUUAUGGAUUUAUGGUCCCGGUCAAGCUCAGCCCAUCCCCAGGCAGGGGCGGGCUCAGCGAGCAGCAAGAGUUCUGGUGGCGGCGGCGGCGGCAGUAGCAGCGGCAGCGGUAGCAGCGGCAGCGGUAGCAGCGGCAGCGGCAGCUUGGUCCUCUGACUCUCUUCGGUGACGGGUAUUCUUGGGUGGAUAAUACGGAUUACGUUGUUAUUGCUUAAGAAUACGCGUAGUCGAGGAGAGUACCAGCGGCAGGGGGGCAGCGGCCGCCCUCCCCAGCCCACCAGCUGGCCACUAAACGCCCGUGGUUGCCAAGGUA